GAUGAACGCUGGCGGCGUGCCUAAUACAUGCAAGUCGAGCGAACAGACGAGAAGCUUGCUUCUCUGAUGUUAGCGGCGGACGGGUGAGUAACACGUGGAUAACCUACCUAUAAGACUGGGAUAACUUCGGGAAACCGGAGCUAAUACCGGAUAAUAUUUUGAACCGCAUGGUUCAAUAGUGAAAGACGGUUUUGCUGUCACUUAUAGAUGGAUCCGCGCUGCAUUAGCUAGUUGGUAAGGUAACGGCUUACCAAGGCAACGAUGCAUAGCCGACCUGAGAGGGUGAUCGGCCACACUGGAACUGAGACACGGUCCAGACUCCUACGGGAGGCAGCAGUAGGGAAUCUUCCGCAAUGGGCGAAAGCCUGACGGAGCAACGCCGCGUGAGUGAUGAAGGUCUUCGGAUCGUAAAACUCUGUUAUUAGGGAAGAACAAAUGUGUAAGUAACUAUGCACGUCUUGACGGUACCUAAUCAGAAAGCCACGGCUAACUACGUG
rnacentral:rRNA from 1 species